CACGUAGGUAAUUUGCCUUUGGGUGGGGAAUAACUCAGGGAAACUUGAGCUAAUACCGCAUAAUGCAGCGGCUCGACAUCGAGACAGUUGUUAAAGCGGGGAAUCGAAAGACCUCGCGUCUAAAGAGGAGCCUGCGGCGGAUUAGCUAGUUGGUAGGGUAACGGCCUACCAAGGCUACGAUCCGUAGCCGGCCUGAGAGGGCGGUCGGCCACACUGACACUGACAUACGGGUCAG
rnacentral:rRNA from 1 species